rnacentral:lncRNA from 1 species
ACUGGGCCUGGCAGUUUUUCCCCUAUAUUGGAAUCUUUGCACACAUUCUUCACUCUACCUAGAGUCUCUGUCGGGUAGAGUCUCUACCUAGAGACCUUGAGUCUCUGUAGAGCAGGCCCUGUACUCUUUCUUUCUGGCAGAUAUCACUUUUAAUUUUGUAGUGGUUUGUUCUUGGCCCAUUGUCUGAGUCCCCUGAGGGCAGGGACUGCUGUGAAAUGUGUGUUGAGGGGAUGAGGGAAUGAUGAGUGCCUUUGUCCAGGCAUCCCUUUGGAUCUUCCCAGUAGUCAUGAGUCCAUUUUGAUACCCUAGAAUACUGAAACCCAGAGAGGUGGAGCACACCUCAGUCACAGAGCCAGUCACUGGUAGAUGGGGCUGUCUGGGGCCUGCUUGCACCCUUCAGAUCCUGCAUCUUUCAGAUUCCCCAUCUGAGGUGGAUACUGUAGACUUUCCCGUGGGCAUCAGUUGUGCAGCAUGGUCAAUGUUGGGGCUCUUGCAAGGCCUGGGCCCACUGACCACCCCUUCUCAUUGCAGGAGGAUGGAGCUGGAGUAAGGAGGAGGAGCUAUGAGCUGCUGACCAGCGCAGGGGACACUGGUGACUUGCAGAUCACUGAGGCUGGACAACGUUCAUGGCUCUCGGGUAGAACCCAGCGAAACGGCCAGAAUGAAUUCUAUGGACAGGCACAUCCAGCAGACCAACGACCGACUGCAGUGCAUCAAGCAGCACUUACAGAACCCUGCCAACUUCCAUAAUGCCGCCACAGAGCUGCUGGACUGGUGUGGAGACCCACGAGCCUUCCAGCGGCCCUUCGAGCAGAGCCUGAUGGGCUGUCUGACAGUGAGUGUGCACCUCUCCAAUGCGCUCGUGCCCUAGGCGGGUGACCAAGGGCUGGCGGGCCUGGCCUGGUGUCCAGGAGGCACCAGAUGAUGGGGGUGAGAGCUGGAAGACACCAUGUGAAACAGAUGGCCUUGCUAUAUGUGCCCCCCACCUGGGGUUUGAUGGGGAGACGUAGUCCCGUGGAUUAUGUGGGUUCCCCACAUUUGAUGAGAAAAACGCAGGACUGCAUCCAGUCAUCCAUCCAUCCAUCCAUCCAUCCAUCUAUAUGGACACAUUUAUUGAGCUCCUAUUUUAUCCAUCCAAAUAAACACUGAUUGGUCCCUCA